GAGGCUCCUGUCCUGAAGGGCCCACAUGCGUUUCUCGAAGGAAGAAUGAUUACUGGGUAACUCUGUUGACAUUCACCAAACUGGAACUGAGUUCGUUUUCAAUUCACUCAAUAUCGUUAGUCUGAAUGCUAGGGGUUUGAGAAAUCUUACAAAAAGAUGGGAUUCUGCAGUGUGAUGGCGAUUGCAUGGUCUAUGGACCUCUAGGGGCGGUAUGCAAGCUGAAGUGGGUCUAGGGUGGCAGGUAAGGAACACAAUUGAACAUGAUGGAUAUGCAACAAGGAAAACCAUUUAGCCACUCAGGCCUGAAGUCUCAGUCAUAAAUUUCCCAGGACUUUGCUCUUCAAACUCCGCUUUACCUCAUAGAACGAGUAUGUUCUCCCCAACAUCAAGCACCAGAUGUCGCUGUCAUUACAUUGCCAACAGAAUACAGGGGAUUUGACAUGACAACGAAACUCAAAGUUUUACCGUGUAUUUAAUUGAAAAUAUGUAAGUCAAUGCAUUUAAUCUCCAGUUCUCUGACAGACUUGUAGACACACAGAUAUGUUUUGUGUAGGAAAACAUUUAUUCCUGUUAUGUCUGGGUGUGUGAAAUCCAAUGAAGGAAUUCCUGCAAUGAAAUCAAACACAUUAAU